UUUCUGCAGGUUACACCUGUUUUCCAGAGUGCAUUCCCUUCUUCCUUUAAGUCCUUGGAAGUGGUGUCAUUCAGUGAUGGAUCAAUCGUCAACAUCAUGGAUGUUUACUUUUCGAGCACACCUGCUGAUUCAGAUGAUUUUCUGAUUGCAAGCAUUUUAAUGAGCGCAGCUGCAAGCAUCACCGGCUUUGACAUUGAGGGGAGCUCCAUCUCCGUGAAUGGCCUAACUUCAAGUGGAGUAAGCCAUAAUAUCAGUCUUAUGACUGCAUCCUGCCUAGCACUGUUGUCAUGGCUACUGUCAAGCCAACAAUGGCAGUAGUGCUGAUUUCCAUCACUGAAGAACUACUCUGGUGUCAGCUUUAGGAUAACUUGUUUUCAAAUGUAAUUUAAAACCUCCAUCAAAUGAUCUCACAAUAAAUGCAGUAUUACUGUGAAAUGAAAUCUUGCUUCACUUAACACUUUCCUUUAGCAUUCUUUUUCUUGGUAAGGUCAUGAAUGCAUUUUUAUCUAAGGAAGGAUGCAGCUCCUUGUGUGCUGCAUAUCCCAACACUAAACUAAUGCAUACAUUUGUAUAAUUAAAUGAUAUGCAUUUCAAAGCAGUUUACUCAAUGUCCGUAUUUAUUAAUAAGGAAUUAAAUUAAAAAUAUUUAUUUAUAUAAUCAUGCAUAGCUGUUUUCUGUUAUAUGUCCUGUUUUUUUCUGUCUGAAACU